rfam:Schistosoma haematobium scaffold1434_14, whole genome shotgun sequence.
AUCCAGCUGAUGAGCCCAAAUAGAACGAAACGCGUGUCCUGGAU